UGCAAUUGGAAGGAGCAGAGGUCUGAAACAGAGGACAGAGAGCCAGGGUGUUCUUUUUUUUUUAUAGCUACUUCUCUUGUUUAAGCAAAAUUGCAGCCUGAGGCACGAUAACAGAGCUAUCCAUACAGGCAGUGUCAGUAUUUUUAUGCCGACGACAAAAAUCUCCUGAACUAUUUACUCUUGAGAAGCCAACACCUCUCCCAAAUACAGCAUUGCUGUGGUCGAUGUAUUCGUCUUCCAGACACCUGAAUAUGGAGAGGAAUGCAAAACACACAAGAAAAAGCAGAACCUGUCAGUCACCCCUUGGCGGCUGCCGACAUCUGAAAGGAUGGACGCAGAAUUCAAGCGCAGCCAUCUUCAUCCAGUCGCUCGUGUGCACAAUUUAGAGGAGCUACAUGCUGGACCUGACCUGGCCCUACACAGGGACUUGGGGCUUGCUGGCUCUGGCUCUGCACAAGCAGGGCUGAUGCUGAGCAGGGUAUGCCCUGGUGGCAAGGGGCUGCUAGCAAUGCUUCUCACCUGUCUGUCCCCAGCUUGUCACACAAAGGUCUUGCAGCCCCCCUGUGACCCUACUAGCACCCUCUUCCCUAUCUGUCUCCUUCAGAAUGAGCAAUGAAUUGCCCUGCACACACUGUCGUGGUCCUGACCCAUACCACAGACAGCAGCAAGCACCCAUCAAUCCACUGGAGUCAUUUUAGACUGCUUAUAUUCAUUUGUUUCAUUAUGCUGUUAUGGCUCUCAUCAGACACAGUGCUAAUUAACUCAAUCCCAUCCUACCAAGUCCUGGCUUCCACAUCAUCUCCAGGGUUUCUAGUCCAGGGAGCUGUAACAGAUCAUUUAUCCCAGGAGGCUUAAAUGGAUGCUUUUCCAUGGCGGAGCUUUAGGCAGAGAGACUCAUGAUUGCAGGGGUGUGUUCAAGUCUAAUUCUGUGUGUAGCAUCAAAAUUUGUAUAGAUUUUAAAUAAUUCAUCACUGGGCUUCAGUAUAUUUAGUCACUCAAAUUAGGAAUCAGGAAUUUUGCUCUGCGGAGAGCUAGCGUGUGUGUCAUUGUCAGAGGUUAGCUCUGCUGCCUGUCUCCAUGCAGAAGAGUUCAGAGAAAUUAAGUCAGAGGAAGUGACUGGCAGUAGAAGAUGCAGGAAAAUGUGUGACACGCAGUGCUGUGAGAGCCUCAGCAGCAGUGCAAUGGGUGAUACUGGUACGUGGUCUAGUGGUAUGUGCGUUGCUGAGGUACUGGAAGACCAUAAGCAUGGUUUAGGUGAGGUCUUUGGGCUCCAACCCAUGAGCCGCCGGCAUAUGGGACUGUCCCCAUCCGUUGCCCCUUGUUUUGUCUGUGGAUUGCAAACCAUGGGGGGCAGAGAGAUGCUCUUGUGCUUUUCUGUGUUCUGCCUGUGACUGUAAAAACAGGCAGCACGGAUGCUCGUACCCAUUAGCAGAUGCGGCAGCUGUGGUGGGCUCCCAGUCACAGCUGGUAGAGACCCGAAAUUUGGCAGAUUCCCAAACCCCCUGCAGCAGUGCUGACUUUCAUUGCAAAGGGAUGGUUUAGAAACACAGACCCACAGCUUCAUUUAGUAGCUGUGUGGUUUCUGGAGCUGUCUCUCCCCCUUUCUUGACCCAAAGGAAAUACUUGAUAAAGUGCUCCAGCACCGGUGGAUUGGGAGGGGUCUGUGCACAGCAUCUCACAGAUGAUGAGAUCUGCCUAACGCGUCAAAAGCUAUCCCAGCUGUGAAGUGUGCUGGAGACUCCUGUCCGAGUGACAGUCUAUUGAUGGGAAACACUGCUGUUCGGGAGGGGGUUGAUUCUGCAAGGCCUCAACACCUAUCCACCUCGACAGGAGCAGAAAGCUCUCAGCAUCUCUCCUAGGAUCGCAGAUCGCUGCACAAGGUUGAAGCCCUUUGUCUCCCUCUUGUUUUUAUGCAUUACAGUCACAUUAUAAAGAAGUCCUGCAGAACAUUCAAUUACUUACUGCACAAUUAUAAUCAUAUUUGUAUACCUAUAAGUAGGUCACCAGUCUCUUAGGUUAAUCAAUUAUAAUGGCAUUCACACUGGUUUCUUUCAUAAAUCACUGGCUUUUAGUGUAUCCACUGAGAUAAUGGAGGAAAACCAUCUAAUUUUGAUCUAACUAGAAUGAAAUGUGAACGUGCAUAAUUUGCUCUUACAAAGUGUAUCUAAUGUUCUCUACAUCUGUAUUUAUUUGUGCUGUUUCAUGCUGCAUAUCGCUUAAGUGGCAAAAAAAAUACAGAGACUGUUGCACUUAAAGCUAAAUGACCCAGAGUAAUACAAUUUAUCUGCAUUUAUUUUACAUUGUUCAUCAUGACAGAUAUUUUAAUAACCCACUUCUGAUGGCUGAUGCACUGAUUACAAAUCACACUGAAAUCUGAGGCAAGCUUGUUUGGUGUGAUGCAAAGACAUUUGGCAGAGCUGUUUUGCCAUGUAAACUAAGCAGUUAAAUGGGUAGGGAGGACUUUACUCAGGCUGGAGGCUGCGAAUGCUUUAGGGCAUGGUGGGAUGCCACCACAUAGCGAGCAUCUGCUGAGCCCCGGACA